UGGGGAAUUUUGGACAAUGGGGGCAACCCUGAUCCAGCAAUGCCGCGUGAGUGAAGAGGGCCUUCGGGUUGUAAAGCUCUUUUGUCAGGGAAGAAACGGUAGUAGCGAAUAACUAUUACUAAUGACGGUACCUGAAGAAUAAGCACCGGCUAACUACGUGCCAGCAGCCGCGGUAAUACGUAGGGUGCAAGCGUUAAUCGGAAUUACUGGGCGUAAAGCGUGCGCAGGCGGUUGUGUAAGCCAGAUGUGAAAUCCCCGGGCUCAACCUGGGAAUUGCAUUUGAGACUGCACGGCUAGAGUGUGUCAGAGGGGGGUAGAGUUCCACGUGUAGCAGUGAAAUGCGUAGAUAUGUGGAGGAAUACCGAUGGCGAAGGCAGCCCCCUGGGAUAACACUGACGCUCAUGCACGAAAGCGUGGGGAGCAAACAGGAUUAGAUACCCAAGUAGUCCCUGAGCGGGCUGGCAAGGCGCAU
rnacentral:rRNA from 1 species